CCGAAGGGACAUCUCAGAUUCUGUGCAUGGAGUCCAGUUCGCUGGAAAAGCGCUCCCUCUGGCAGUCAAAACUGAUUUAAAGGAUGCUGGCGUGCAACCUGGAAGAGGCUUGGAUUUCAGCUCCAGUCUCCAAGGGAAAUUUAUUGUCCUUUGACAGCUGAGGCUCAGCAAAUCCCUGGCGCUGAAGGCACCCCGGGGAGCUGUCGCCGCUGCCCUGCCCACCUGUAUGCUGUCCCCUUAAGGCCCCCCCAGAAGUGAGAAGAACCAUCAGCUGUGCAUCGCCCAUCCCACACCUCCUCCCUCUGAUAAUUAUGCCAGCAGGGGUUGGCCCGGUCCCAUUUAUGAAUGGUGGUAUUUGGAGGGGGGUCGGUAACUGCGAAUCACCGAUUCAUUUGAGUGAAGCAAACCGUCCAGGAAUCUUUGGACUGGAUUUCACCUCUUGACUAAAUGGAGCUCACUGAAUUACGUGGUAGACGGUGCUGCACUUAUUAGGAUGAUCGUGGCUGAACCCACAUCAGGGCACAUUUUCCUAAAUACGAGUACACGUAUACGGUCAAUAAAAAUGUUUGAAAUUAGUGCUAUAGAAAAUUUGGCAGGGGUGGUUUCAUGAU